AUUGAACGCUGGCGGCAGGCCUAACACAUGCAAGUCGAACGGUAACAGGAAGCAGCUUGCUGCUUUGCUGACGAGUGGCGGACGGGUGAGUAAUGUCUGGGAAACUGCCCGAUGGAGGGGGAUAACUACUGGAAACGGUAGCUAAUACCGCAUAACGUCGCAAGACCAAAGAGGGGGACCUUAGGGCCUCUUGCCAUCGGAUGUGCCCAGAUGGGAUUAGCUAGUAGGUGGGGUAACGGCUCACCUAGGCGACGAUCCCUAGCUGGUCUGAGAUGAUGACCAGCCACACUGGAACUGAGACACGGUCCAGACUCCUACGGGAGGCAGCAGUGGGGAAUAUUGCACAAUGGGCGCAAGCCUGAUGCAGCCAUGCCGCGUGUAUGAAGAAGGCCUUCGGGUUGUAAAGUACUUUCAGCGGGGAGGAAGGGAGUAAAGUUAAUACCUUUGCUCAUUGACGUUACCCGCAGAAGAAGCACCGGCUAACUCCGUG
rnacentral:rRNA from 1 species